UUAAGUUCAGCGGGUAGUCCUACCUGAUUUGAGGUCUGAGCAAAAAAUGUCGGAAGACGGGUUAUGAGCAGACGUCCGAUCUAGGCCAGCGAAACUUAUUACGCCAGAUUCAAUCUUCUGAACCACUGAGACCUUUAAGGCGAGCCAUACGACUGGCAACGCCCAAGUCCUUCGUCAUCGGAAACCCGAUGGGAAGAGAU
rnacentral:misc_RNA from 1 species